rnacentral:rRNA from 1 species
CAGCAGCCGCGGGAAUACGGAGGGGGCUAGCGUUGUUCGGAAUUACUGGGCGUAAAGCGCACGUAGGCGGCUUGGUAAGUUAGAGGUGAAAGCCCGGAGCUCAACUCCGGAAUUGCCUUUAAGACUGCCGAGCUAGUAGGUGAGAGAGGUGAGUGGAAUUCCGAGUGUAGAGGUGAAAUUCGUAGAUAUUCGGAAGAACACCAGUGGCGAAGGCGGCUCACUGGCUCAUUCUAGACGCUGAGGUGCGAAAGCGUGGGGAGCAAACAGGAUUAGAUACCCCGGUAGUCCCUGUCUCUUAUAC